rnacentral:pre_miRNA from 1 species
CGCACGUACUACCAUUCUACUCCCUCCCUUUAUUGCAGUCCGUUCAUAUUAUUUAAAAUAUUUUAUGAUUAGUAUUUUUUGUUGUUAUUAGAUGAUAAAACAUGAAUAGUAUUUUAUGUGCGACUAAUUUUUUUAAAAAAUUGUGUAAAUUUUUUAAAUAAGAUGGAUGAUGAAACAUUGGACACGUAUAUCCAUGACUGCGCUUAUU